AAUUGAGACCCAAAAGAGCCUUUAAGGAAGGGUUUAAAAGGGGGAAGAGGAAUAGAGGCUGCAAGAGAUUGUGAUUCAUGGACAGUAUGCAGAGAUCAAAUGACCUGGGUUCAGAUCCUGGCUCCACUGCUAACUGUGUAACUAUAGGAAACAAGCUAUAUUGAAGACAACUGCAAUCAAAAUGGUGCCAUAUCACUGAUCUUCUCACUCAAAGAAGAAGUUGGUGCAUUGGCCAAAGUAUUGCGCUUAUUUGAGGAGAAUGAUGUAAACCUGACCCACAUUGAAUCUAGACCUUCUCGUUUAAAGAAAGAUGAGUAUGAAUUUUUCACCCAUUUGGAUAAACGUAGCCUGCCUGCUCUGACAAACAUCAU
rnacentral:lncRNA from 1 species